AUUGAACGCUGGCGGCAUGCUUUACACAUGCAAGUCGGACGGCAGCACAGAGAAGCUUGCUUCUUGGGUGGCGAGUGGCGAACGGGUGAGUAACGCAUCGGAACGUACCGAGUAAUGGGGGAUAACUGUCCGAAAGGACAGCUAAUACCGCAUACGCCCUGAGGGGGAAAGCGGGGGAUCUUAGGACCUCGCGUUAUUCGAGCGGCCGAUGUCUGAUUAGCUGGUUGGCGGGGUAAAGGCCCACCAAGGCGACGAUCAGUAGCGGGUCUGAGAGGAUGAUCCGCCACACUGGGACUGAGACACGGCCCAGACUCCUACGGGAGGCAGCAGUGGGGAAUUUUGGACAAUGGGCGCAAGCCUGAUCCAGCCAUGCCGCGUGUCUGAAGAAGGCCUUCGGGUUGUAAAGGACUUUUGUCAGGGAAGAAAGGGAGCGUGCCAAUACCAUGCUCUGAUGACGGUACCUGAA
rnacentral:rRNA from 1 species